rnacentral:rRNA from 1 species
GGGUAGCCGGCCUGAGAGGGCGACCGGCCACACUGGGACUGAGACACGGCCCAGACUCCUACGGGAGGCAGCAGUGGGGAAUAUUGCACAAUGGGCGAAAGCCUGAUGCAGCGACGCCGCGUGAGGGAUGACGGCCUUCGGGUUGUAAACCUCUUUCAGCAGGGAAGAAGCGAAAGUGACGGUACCUGCAGAAGAAGCGCCGGCUAACUACGUGCCAGCAGCCGCGGUAAUACGUAGGGCGCAAGCGUUGUCCGGAAUUAUUGGGCGUAAAGAGCUCGUAGGCGGCUUGUCACGUCGGAUGUGAAAGCCCGGGGCUUAACCCCGGGUCUGCAUUCGAUACGGGCUAGCUAGAGUGUGGUAGGGGAGAUCGGAAUUCCUGGUGUAGCGGUGAAAUGCGCAGAUAUCAGGAGGAACACCGGUGGCGAAGGCGGAUCUCUGGGCCAUUACUGACGCUGAGGAGCGAAAGCGUGGGGAGCGAACAGGAUUAGAUACCCUGGUAGUCCACGCCGUAAACGUUGGGAACUAGGUGUUGGCGACAUUCCACGUCGUCGGUGCCGCAGCUAACGCAUUAAGUUCCCCGCCUGGGGGNAGUACGGA